rnacentral:misc_RNA from 1 species
CUCUUUGACACUCGAGGCACAUCGACAUCCUUGCACUAUAGGAUGGAUCAAGGAAAUUGGAGGAAUUCAAGUGAAUGAGCACUGCAAAGUUCCUUUCUCUAUUAGUAAGUAUAUUAAUGAAACUUAUUGUGAUAUUGUUGACAUGGAUGCUUGCCAUAUUUUGUUAUGAAGACCUUGGCAGUUUGAUGUUGAUGUAAAGCACUCUGGUCAGAAAAAUACAUACCAACUGGAGAGGAAGGGAAAAUUUACUCUCUUGUACCAAUUGGAGAAAAGAAACCUACCAAAGCUUCUAAAGUGGAGGAAAGGGAUUUUCUCUCAAUUAACAAUAAGCCUUUUAAAUUUGCAGCUGAGUGCAAGGAGACUAAACAGAUGCAUCUUUUGGCGAUAAAGGGCGAGGAAGUAAAGAAAGAGGAGGAGCCAAGGCAAUAGCUAGUGGAGGUGAAAAGCCUAUUGGAGGAAUUUUAUAAUGUGAUUCUUGACGAAUUACACAAUGAGUUGCCACCCAUAAGGGAUAUACAACACCAUAUUAAUUUGGUGCCUGGUGCAAGCUUACCAAAUCUACCUCAUUACAGAUUAAGUCCUAAAGAAAGUGAGAUCCAAAGGGAGAAGGUAGAGGAGCUAUUGCAAAAGGGACACAUCCAAGCUAGCAUGAGUCCUUGUGCAGUGCUGGCAUUACUAACACUAAAGAAGGAUGGGAGUUAGAGGAUGUGCAUUAACAGCCAAGCUAUUAACAAAAUUACUAUUGAAUACAAAUUCCCAAUCCCUCAGUUGGAAGACAUGCUUGAUCAAUUGGAGGGAUCAGUCAUCUUCACCAAGAUUGAUCUAAGGAGUAUUCAUCCUGGAGACGAGUGGAAGACGACGUUCAAGACAAGGGACUGAUUGUAUGAAUGGUUAGUCAUGCCCCUUAGGCUAACCAAUGCACCAAGCACAUUCAUGAGGCUAAUGAACCAGGUACUUGGAACUUUCAUUGGUAAAUUUGUAGUAGAGUAUUUUGAUGAUAUUCUUAUCUUUACUAAGUCCCUUGAUGAGCAUAUGUGGUAUAUUAGAGAGGCACUUAAGGUGUUAAGGAAAAACAAGCUAUACGCUAAUUUGAAGAAGUGUAUUUUCAUGACUAGUAGCUUGUUAUUUUUGGGAUUUGUCGUGAGUAAGGAUGGGAUUAAAGUGGAUGGAGAGAAGGUAAGAGCUAUUAGAGAGUGGCCUACCCCUAAAAUGGUGAGUGAAGUGAGGAGUUUUCAUGGUCUUGCAACCUUUUAUAGGAGGUUUAUUAAGCAUUUUGGUAGCAUCGCUGCACCUAUUAUUGAAUGUUUGAAGAAGGAGAAUUUUGAAUGGGAUGAGGAGCAAGAAAAGAGUUGAAUGUGAUAGUUGAAUUUAUUUAUUUUGAAUCAGGUACGCUUUCUAAAUGUGUGAGAAUUUAUUUAUUCAAGAACCAUUAUUAGGGUGAUGGUUAAAUUUUAUAUUAUUUACAUUAUGUUUAUAAUUAUUAUGAUCUAUUAAGAAUUU